rnacentral:rRNA from 1 species
UACGUAGGGUGCGAGCGUUGUCCGGAAUUACUGGGCGUAAAGAGCUCGUAGGUGGUUUGUCGCGUUGUCCGUGAAAACUCACAACUCAAUUGUGGGCGUGCGGGCGAUACGGGCAGACUGGAGUACUGCAGGGGAGACUGGAAUUCCUGGUGUAGCGGUGGAAUGCGCAGAUAUCACUAGGAACGCCGGUGGCGAAAGCGGCCGACUGGACCUCUUCUGACGCUGAGGCGCGAAAGCCAGGGGAGCGAACGGG